CAGAAGGAUGAAUGGCACUGGGCUCUGACGGCAAAGCCGGUCAUGAUAGACAUGCCCCAUUGCGGCAGGCCUAGAAAACCUCGCCCACUGAUC
rnacentral:snoRNA from 1 species